UCCCUGACGGUCCAGUGGUCAGGACUCUGAGCUUCCACUGCAGGGGGUGCUGGUUUGAUCCCUGUUUGGGGAA
rfam:Ovis aries breed Texel chromosome 2, whole genome shotgun sequence.